AACACCCACAAACAACGUCACGACGCAACGUGGUUAAACAGUACGUUUAUUAAAGUAACUGGGUGAACGACAUCGGAGCGGACUGCAAAUCGCAACGCUACUUUCUCGAGUGCAGAUACUCUUCGAGACGGCUAAACAACGUGUCCAACUCGCUGAGACCUUUCCGCGUGCCGUUAUCCGAUUUCCUUUCCGCCUCCUGAGACAGCCGACUAAUCACGGACUUAUCUCCGCAACCUAACAGAGGCUGGGAGCCCGACAAAAGUAAAACAGCGUGCUAUGAACACGUUGUUACCUCUGCGCGGACAGCGCCGCCACAGAGACACUUACGCAUUGCCGCAUGUCUUUGUAGAUGGAUUCUAGCGUCGAGCGCAUACUAUGCAAUUCCGUCUUAAGUCCAGGAUAGACGUGGUCGCCUGCGGGGAACACGAUCUCCAGAUACCGCCUCAACAACCAGUCCAUAACGCUGCAUCCCCAACAGCCUUUGACCACCGUACCGUCGAGCCACACGGAGUAGUCGUCCUCACGUUGCUACAAGAGGAAAACUACGUCACCCGACACGCGGAAAAGAAAGACCGUCGCAAUAAACCGUACCUACGUGACCUACCAACGUAGGUUUUACUCGAUGAAAGGUGACGCGGAAAUCUUGCAAUCUGGUCGCGUAAUCCUCCGGACGACACUGCGGCUUUGUAUUCUUUAUCGUCGUCGUCGUCGCCGCCGGCUUCGCCUCCUCGGAAGCGCCUAGAAAAAAGACGAUCAGGACCAGAGAGGAAGAGACCAUCACCGACAGCAUCGCCGCAGCAUGCCGCCCCAAUCCGCCGCCCAACUGCGCGUCCCAGAUACCACUCGUAGACUGUCAGCCUCGCGAGGAGACACCGCGGACCGGGGAAACGGAUAAGUUUACGAACAGAAAUCUCAAGAGAAAGACGCUGACCCGGGAAGUACCGUCACGGAGACACGGUUGUUUUUAUUGAAUUUCCAGUGUAUCGAGCCACCGUGAUGCAGGUACGGUGGUUUUAUGUGAAGUGCCGCUAUCUAUAGGCGAUGUGUUCCCUGACGGUGUGUGUUUUUUUGGGGAUAGACAACGUGGUUCUUGUACGUGGUUUUUACCCUGCUCAAUAAAGUCACGUUUUCCUUACACGGUGUUGUGUC
rnacentral:sRNA from 1 species